GAGGAUUGUGGUCUGCAUUUUUGCCUGUUUUUAGCUGCUAUUGCUACUGAUAACCAAUUUUUCAAUUGAGUCUCUGGAAUUGCAGGGCUCAUAGAAGGCAAAGCCCAUGGGAAUACUCACAGUCAACUGAAGGGAAAAAAGGGAAGAAAUGACAAAUGUAGGCUAUGUCAGGACAAUGGUAUACGGCUGCAGUGGGGGAGGCUGAGACUUGAGGUGUGUGGGGGUUUCUUGGGCAUUAGAAUACAAUCGUUCUUUGCUCUAAUAUGUACUCUUUCUGUUUGUUGUCUGAUGCAUAAAAUCUUUGUAGCUACUUUGUUCAGACCUAUGAAGUUCAUUUUAAAAUCAGUGGAAAAAAAAUCUGUCUGGGAAUGUAAGGUGUCGAUGGAAAGGAAGAAAAAAAAAAGAAAGAAAAAGAACCCUUUGGAAGGUCUGCUGGGAGCACAAUGACCGCAAGGUCAACCAUAUAUAAGAGAUGUGAACAUUAAGAAAGGGAACAAAAAUCAGAAAUGGGCGAGGCUGGCAGCGUGUGGAAGUCAUCUACAACCCCAGAAUUUUGAACAUGUCUGCCCUGGGUUCAGUAAGCCCUUUUGAAAGCAAAGAAGAAAUCAAGAUCAUUUCAUAAGUCUUUCCAGAUGAUAUCCAAUUAUUUUAAAACUCCCAACUUGGGACAAGAUCACCUGGGAUUUCUAAUGUGAUGAAGCAUUUUUCAUUAGUGAACAAGCCACUGCAAAACCUUACGUGUUUCUUACUGUUUGGUAAUGUAAUUUAAGUUUAUACAAGGGGAACUCGAAAGGUAUUUUGUAUGUAUUUGACUUGUCACAACAGCAAUGCAGAAACUAACAAUAUUAUUAUAUUCAGAAAUUUCUUUCUAUUUUUCAACAGUAUCUCAACUACAUUUUUAUAAUUGCAGAAAAAAAUGUUUUUUGUUAAAUGGUAAGCCAUGUGUUAUCAAAUUGGCAACCUGUCAGUAGCAAAAUAACAUCUCCUAUAGCAUAUUUGAGAUUGUCCAAAAUAAUCUGAUGAAUGGUCAGUACUUUUAUUAUAGUGCUUCAAAAUGCUAAAAGCUGGACAGCCUCGGCUAUUUUCAACAAUUGCAAACAGAGUAAAAUACCUGCACUGAGAAGUAAUUUUCCUUUUCUCAUCUUUUAGCUGCAAAAUAAACACAGCCUACAUUAUAACUCUUAGGGUAUUCAAUAUUACUGUAGAUUGUAAAGCUUUUAGUUACCAGGUUCCUAAAGUUUGAAAUGGACUGUUAUGAGUUGUUCCUGUCACACCACAAUAAAGUA